UACGUAGGAUGCAAGCGUUGUCCGGAAUUACUGGGCGUAAAGGGCGAGUAGGCGGCCCCGCAAGUCAGAUGUGAAAUAGCCCGGCUUAACCGGGAGGGGUCAUUUGAAACUGCGGAGCUAGAGUGCAGGAGAGGCUAGCGGAAUUCCCGGUGUAGUGGUGAAAUGCGUAGAUAUCUGGAGGAAUACCGGUGGCGAAGGCGGCAUCCUGGACCGACAUUGACGCUGAUGAGCGAAAGCUAGGGGAGCAAACGGGG
rnacentral:rRNA from 1 species